UGUGGGAGCUGGCUUGCCUGCGAUGCAGACACCUGGGUGUAUCAGUGAUACCCAGGUGAUGUUAUCGCAGGCAAGCCAGCUCCCACA
rnacentral:misc_RNA from 1 species